GAGAUAGCCGCGCGGGAGGAGGAAGGCAGGGAGGAGGGGAGUUCAAGAGGAGAACUCCCAUCUGCCUCAGCCUGCCACUGGACCAGGGAAACCACCCUCCAGGAAAAGGUAAGAACCUGGAGGGUGGCUAAAUGUAUGUCAGUAGGUCUGUCUGUGUGUGUAUGUCUGUGUGUAUGCCAGUAUGUCUGUGUGUGUGUGUCAGUGUGUGUGUCAGUAUGUCUGUGUGUGUGUGUGUGUCAGUAUGUCUGUGUGUGUGUGUGUGUGUCAGUAUGUCUGUGUGUAUGCCAGUAUGUCUGUGUGUGUGUGUGUCAGUAUGUCUGUGUGUAUGCCAGUAUGUCUGUGUGUGUGUAUGUAGGUAUGUCUCUGUGUGUGUGUGUACGUGUGUGUCAGUAUGUCUGCCAGGAUUUAUUUGUGUGUUAGUGUAUGUGUGUGUCAGUAUGUAUCUGUGAAUGUUUUAUUGUCUGUCUGUGUGUAUGUGCCAGUACGUCUGUCUGUGUGUAUGUCAGUAUGUCUGUGUGUGUG